rnacentral:rRNA from 1 species
AGGGUUUGAUUAUGGCUCAGAACGUACGCUGGCGGCACGCCUUAUACAUGCAAGUCGAACGAAGUAGCAAUACUUAGUGGCAGACGGGUGAGUAACAUGUAGGUAUCUUCCCUUUGGUGAGGAAUAACACGAGGAAACUUGUGCUAAUACCUCAUAAGUCUUUACGGAGAAAGCUUUAUGCGCCGAAGGAUGAGCCUGCACUUGAUUAGUUUGUUGGUGGGGUAAUGGCCUACCAAGACUUUGAUCUAUAGCUGAUCUGAGAGGAUGAUCAGCCACAUUGGGACUGAGACACGGCCCAAACUCCUACGGGAGGCAGCAGUAGGGAAUAUUGCACAAUGGAGGAAACUCUGAUGCAGCGAUGCCGCGUGAGUGAAGAAGGCCUUUGGGUUGUAAAGCUCUUUCGUCGGGGAGGAAAAUGACUGUACCCGAAUAAGAAGGUCCGGCUAACUUCGUGCCAGCAGCCGCGGUAAUAC